CGUUAGCGGCGGACGGGUGAGUAACACGUGGGUAACCUACCUAUAAGACUGGGACAACUUGGGAAACCGGAGCUAAUACCGGAUAAGAUAUCGAACCGCAUGGUUCGAUAGUGAAAGAUGGUUUUGCUAUCACUUAUAGAUGGACCCGCGCCGUAUUAGCUAGUUGGUGAGGUAACGGCUCACCAAGGCAACGAUACGUAGCCGACCUGAGAGGGUGAUCGGCCACACUGGAACUGAGACACGGUCCAGACUCCUACGGGAGGCAGCAGAA
rnacentral:rRNA from 1 species